AGUAUGAGAGGGAGUAAAUCACGGUGAAUACGGGCCCAGUUAUGACAUGGCGGUCUUAGGUGUUUAGCACGGACAGAUAUUGAUAUUAUCACAAUUGCUGCCGCAGACCUUUGACCUCCCGACUCAUGAUGCAAGAAUACCAUGUCAUAACCGGCUGAUCCCGCCCGUGGGGGCAGCUUCUCUUCUUGUCUCGAUACGACGGAUGGGGGCCGAAGAACAGCAGGCGCAGAAAGCUGGCAAUGGUGUCGGGGGUUUGGCGACUCCAACUCCCAUCUCUGAGGCCCAAUUCCUGUCGUGGAAGCGCCGAAAGGAUGCUGAAGCAGCAGCAAGAAAAGCUGAAGCAGCUCAAAAACGUGCAGAGGACAUAGCUGCAGGAACAGUUCAGAUGAAUGGCCGUGAGCUUUUUCACCAUGAGCCUUGGGUAUUUGAUAAUGAUCAAUACUGAUUUUCAUCAGAGGUGUUCAAGCAACAAGAGAGGAAAGAAAUAUGUCAUCAACGAGGAUUUCGAGUUGGUGGUAAAACGUGACACAAUAUUAAAAUUUGAAGUAUGUACUUCUUUGGAUGAAUUACCAAUUUAUGUACUUCCUUGAACCAGUUUAUGUAGUUUGUAACCUGAGACAUUUUGAAGCCUCAGUAAAAGAACCUCUUUGUUCAACAAAUGCAGUGUAAAGGUUGGAGAAGCAUUGUAACCUGAGGUUCAUGCUUGCUAACAUGCACAG